UCCAUCCAUAUCAGUAAACACGAAUGAACAAAGUACCCAUUCUCCAUUCAAAUCUGUCUUCUAUAUUUCUGGUGAACUUUCUUUCCAUGUGAUUGUUCCCCUCUAUAAAAGCAGCUUCUAUAGUUUCCCAAUCCAUCGGUCAAAGCUCAUUUCUUCUCUUGGGCACAGGCAUCAGCUUCAUUCUGUUCAUCGGAUUCAUGCCAAGUGGAAUGAUGAAACCAAUUUACAGAUGCUAAAUGACCUCCCCAGGUCUCUGAGUUAGUCAAGGUAGGAUUUGAACCCAUUUUUCCUUACUCCAAGAUUUGUCACUCA
rnacentral:lncRNA from 1 species